CAUCAGGCAGGUCCAGUUGGUCCUCACGGACGUUUUAAAGACUGAACAGGGGCUGGCCUACCUGGACAAGAAAAGGCGUGGCCUGAUGACUGACAAUGGAGAGACAAAGAGAGAGUCGUGGGUGGGGAGUAGGCAGAGGGUGUCUCCGAGCAGCAGAGAGGGGGGGGAUGAUCGGAGAGAUGACCCCCAAUACAGAAAGAGACCCCAUGACCACGACACACCCACCUCGACCCGCAAGGAGACGAGGUCACACCAUAGAGGGGGGUCAGAGGAAGAAGAGGAGAUGAAAGAAGUCAUAAUAGGAGAGGAGAACGAAAUGGUCAUAUACAGCAAAUGUCCCUACAAAGGAAAACGUUCUGACAACACCUCCAAAGACAUUUGAUCAGUUUGCCUUG
ensembl:lncRNA